CAGUCGCCGCGGGAAUACAGAGGGUGCGAGCGUUAAUCGGAUUUACUGGGCGUAAAGCGUGAGUAGGCGGCUUCUUAAGUCGGAUGUGAAAUCCCUGAGCUUAACUUAGGAAUUGCAUUCGAUACUGGGAAGCUAGAGUAUGGGAGAGGAUGGUAGAAUUCCAGGUGUAGCGGUGAAAUGCGUAGAGAUCUGGAGGAAUACCGAUGGCGAAGGCAGCCAUCUGGCCUAAUACUGACGCUGAGGUACGAAAGCAUGGGGAGCAAACAGGAUUAGAUACCCCAGUAGUCCCUGUCUCUUAUAC
rnacentral:rRNA from 1 species